rnacentral:rRNA from 1 species
UCUGGCGACCGGCGCACGGGUGAGUAACACGUAUCCAACCUGCCCUUUACUCGGGGAUAGCCUUUCGAAAGAAAGAUUAAUACCCGAUAGCAUAAUGAUUCCGCAUGGUUUCAUUAUUAAAGGAUUCCGGUAAAGGAUGGGGAUGCGUUCCAUUAGGCUGUUGGUGAGGUAACGGCUCACCAAGCCUUCGAUGGAUAGGGGUUCUGAGAGGAAGGUCCCCCACAUUGGAACUGAGACACGGUCCAA